rnacentral:rRNA from 1 species
AGCGAACGCUGGCGGCAGGCCUAACACAUGCAAGUCGAACGAAGUCUUCGGACUUAGUGGCGGACGGGUGAGUAACACGUGGGAACGUGCCUUUAGGUUCGGAAUAACUCAGGGAAACUUGUGCUAAUACCGAAUGUGCCCUUCGGGGGAAAGAUUUAUCGCCUUUAGAGCGGCCCGCGUCUGAUUAGCUAGUUAGUGAGGUAAAGGCUCACCAAGGCUACGAUCAGUAGCUGGUCUGAGAGGAUGACCAGCCACAUUGGGACUGAGACACGGCCCAAACUCCUACGGGAGGCAGCAGUGGGGAAUCUUGCGCAAUGGGCGAAGGCCUGACGCAGCCAUGCCGCGUGGAUGAUGAAGGUCUUAGGAUUGUAAAAUCCUUUCACCGGUGAAGAUAAUGACUGUAGCCGGAGAAGAAGCCCCGGCUAACUUCGUGCCAGCCGCCGCCGUAA